rnacentral:rRNA from 1 species
UACGGAGGGAGCUAGCGUUGUUCGGAAUUACUGGGCGUAAAGCGCGCGUAGGCGGCUUUGUAAGUUAGAGGUGAAAGCCCGGGGCUCAACCCCGGAACUGCCUUUAAGACUGCAUCGCUUGAAUCCGGGAGAGGUGAGUGGAAUUCCGAGUGAUAGAGGUGAAAUUCGGUAAGAUAUUCGGAAGAACACCAGUGGCGAAGGCGGCUCACUGGACCGGCAUUGACG